UAUGUUUUCUUUUCUUUUCUCUAGUAAGAGCUCUGCUAGGGCACAAAGAUUCUCUCCUCUUCGAGCUAGCUAAGAAUAUUCUACAUCCAGCUCCCCCGACUAGUUCUUGAAGCGGUGGUGCUCUUUAGUUGCAGACUUGUUGUGUUUGCUAGCAUCUAAAAAGUGUCUGUUAUUGUCUUGCUUUCUCUUUUGCAAUGAUCACCUUAAUGGUGGGAGCAGAUGGGAGAAAUGCUGAAGGUGGAUCUGAUGGUGACAGCGGUGUUGUUUAGUUGAACUUGUUAUUUGUGGCUCUUAGGAGUAGUUUUUUUGGGUCCUAAUGCCUUUUUGUAAUUCCUUACUCUAUGAGCAACCUUUUGUAAACUAUUACACUCUUAGUUUAUGUUUGAUUAUGACA